rnacentral:rRNA from 1 species
CAAAGGUGAGCCAGUACAGGAUGGACCCGCGUCUGAUUAGCUAGUUGGUAAGGUAACGGCUUACCAAGGCGACGAUCAGUAGCCGACCUGAGAGGGUGAUCGGCCACAUUGGAACUGAGACACGGUCCAAACUCCUACGGGAGGCAGCAGUGGGGAAUAUUGCACAAUGGGCGAAAGCCUGAUGCAGCAACGCCGCGUGAGUGAUGAAGGCCUUCGGGUCGUAAAACUCUGUCCUCAAGGAAGAUAAUGACGGUACUUGAGGAGGAAGCCCCGGCUAACUACGUGCCAGCAGCCGCGGUAAUACGUAGGGGGCUAGCGUUAUCCGGAUUUACUGGGCGUAAAGGGUGCGUAGGCGGUCUUUCAAGUCAGGAGUGAAAGGCUACGGCUCAACCGUAGUAAGCUCUUGAAACUGGGAGACUUGAGUGCAGGAGAGGAGAGUGGAAUUCCUAGUGUAGCGGUGAAAUGCGUAGAUAUUAGGAGGAACACCAGUUGCGAAGGCGGCUCUCUGGACUGUAACUGACGCUGAGGCACGAAAGCGUGGGGAGCAAACAGGAUUAGAUACCCUGGUAGUCCACGCUGUAAACGACGA